rnacentral:rRNA from 1 species
AUUGAACGCUGGCGGCAUGCUUUACACAUGCAAGUCGAGCGGUAACAGGCCUUCGGGUGCUGUCGAGUGGCGAACGGGUGAGUAAUGCAUCGGAACGUACCCAGAGGUGGGGGAUAACGCAGCGAAAGCUGUGCUAAUACCGCAUGUGAUCUGAGGAUGAAAGCGGGGGACCGAGCAGCAAUGUUUGGCCUCGCGCCUUUGGAGCGGCCGAUGUCGGAUUAGCUAGUUGGUGGGGUAAAGGCCUACCAAGGCGACGAUCCGUAGCUGGUCUGAGAGGACGACCAGCCACACUGGGACUGAGACACGGCCCAGACUCCUACGGGAGGCAGCAGUGGGGAAUUUUGGACAAUGGGCGCAAGCCUGAUCCAGCAAUGCCGCGUGCGGGAAGAAGGCCUUCGGGUUGUAAACCGCUUUUGGCAGGAACGAAACGGUGUCCGCUAAUACCGGGCGCUAAUGACGGUACCUGCAGAAUAAGCACCGGCUAACUACGUG